rnacentral:rRNA from 1 species
CUACGGAGGGUGCAAGCGUUAUUCGGAAUCACUGGGCGUAAAGGACGCGUAGGCGGGUUGGCAAGUCAGAUGUGAAAUCCUACAGCUUAACUGUAGAACUGCAUUUGAAACUGCUAACCUAGAGUAUGGGAGGGGGAGAUGGAAUUAGUGGUGUAGGGGUAAAAUCCGUAGAUAUCACUAGGAAUACCGAAAGCGAAGGCGAUCUCCUGGAACAUAACUGACGCUAAGGCGUGAAAGCGUGGGGAGCAAACAGGAUUAGAUACCCUUGUAGUCC